rnacentral:rRNA from 1 species
GUACGAAUAAGCAUCGGCUAACUCCGUGCCAGCAGCCGCGGUAAUACGGAGGAUGCAAGCGUUAUCCGGAUUUAUUGGGUUUAAAGGGUGCGUAGGCGGGAUAUUAAGUCAGUGGUGAAAUCCUGCAGCUUAACUGUAGAACUGGAAUUGAUACUGAUAUUCUUGAGUAUAGUUGAAGUGGGCGGAAUGUGUAACGUAGCGGUGAAAUGCUUAGAUAUUACACAGAACACCGAUUGCGUAGGCAGCUCGCUAAACUAAUACUGACGCUGAGGCACGAAAGCGUGGGGAGCGAACAGGAUUAGAUACCCUGGUAGUCCACGCUGUAAACUAUGAUCACUCGUUGUUGGCAAUACACAGUCAGCGACUGAGCGAAAGCAUUAAGUGAUCCACCUGGGGAGUACGGCCGCAAGGUUGAAACUCAAAGGAAUUGACGGGGGCCCGCACAAGCGGAGGAACAUGUGGUUUAAUUCGAUGAUACGCGAGGAACCUUACCUGGGCUUAAAUGCAGAACGACGUCCGCCGAAAGGCAGAUUCCCUUCGGGGCGGACUGCAAGGUGCUGCAUGGUUGUCGUCAGCUCGUGCCGUGAGGUGUCGGGUUAAGUCCCAUAACGAGCGCAACCCUUAUUGUUAGUUGCCAGCGGGUAAUGCCGGGGACUCUAACGAAACUGCCGGUGUAAACCGAGAGGAAGGUGGGGAUGACGUCAAAUCAGCACGGCCCUUACGUCCAGGGCUACACACGUGUUACAAUGGCCGGUACAAAGGGCAGCUACCUGGUAACAGGAUGCUAAUCUCGAAAGCCGGUCUCAGUUCGGAUUGAAGUCUGCAACUCGACCUCAUGAAGUUGGAUUCGCUAGUA